UACGUAGGGAGCAAGCGUUGUCCGGAAUCAUUGGGCGUAAAGCGCGCGUAGGCGGCCCUGUAAGUCCGCUGUGAAAGUCAAAGGCUCAACCUUUGAAAGCCGGUGGAUACUGCAGGGCUAGAGUCCGGAAGAGGCGAGUGGAAUUCCUGGUGUAGCGGUGAAAUGCGCAGAUAUCAGGAGGAACACCAAUGGCGAAGGCAGCUCGCUGGGACGUGACUGACGCUGAGACGCGAAAGCGUGGGGAGCAAACAGG
rnacentral:rRNA from 1 species